CCGAGAUGCAGGAACUCUCCAAAUGUGGCACCUGUGGAUGGUGUCCCUGCCCGUCUGAGGGAAGUUCUGGCCCAGACUGGAGUGGAAGCAGGUUUACGUCUUAAACUGGAGCUCACACCUGAAUCUGGGCUCCUGGAGGAUGGAGGAAUCAGACAGUUGGUGUGUUCCAGACAGAAAACACCUUUGGGCAAAGCACAUUUUUUGGCUCAUUAACUUCUGCUGCUCAGGAGAUAUUAACAAAACCACAAGUGCACAGCUCAGCUCCAAUAUCCAACCCUUCCACAUCCCACCAGGAUCCCAGCUGGUGCAUUUGCUGUACAAGGAUCUCCACAUGGAGAGGGAUUUGCUGAGCCCUGAGCAGAUGCUGAGAUGAGGAAGAGAACAGCAGGAAUCAGCAGAAAUGCUGUGAAGACAAAGAUUCAGGAGCUGUGAGACACCCCAAGCAGCACAGAGACCUGCUCUGCUUGGAUGCACAUCCCAGGGAAGGAGCUGCAAAGAAAGGAAUUAUUCCAAUUAAACAGUCAGCAAGGCCUGGUGUGGUAUUUACCUCAUUACACUCACACCCUGAAUGGAGUGGUCUGCGAGCAAAGC
rnacentral:lncRNA from 1 species